UCCCCUCGUGCUGACACGCAAAAUAACCAGUUUCAAACUUGUAUUCUUCAAAUGCAGCUAGCACAUAAAACCUCCAACCAAAUCAUGGGUUUCUACUGCCGUAAGCAAGCAGAGGAGAGGUGAAAUCCCAAUAAUAUAUCAGCUACCGGCAUCCAUCCAUGGCCCUUGAAUUAAAGAAACUAGUCUGU